rfam:Oryza glumipatula chromosome 3, whole genome shotgun sequence.
UCUAAACACAGUCUACUCCCUCCGUCAUGUCCAACUUUGACUGUCCGUCUUAUAUAAAUUUUUUUUAUAAUUUGUAUUUUCAUUGUUGUUAGAUGAUAAAACAUGAUUAAUAUUUUAUGCGUGACUUAUCUUUUUAAUUUUUUUCAUAAUUUUUUUAAAUAAGACGGACGGUCAAAUGUUGGAGACGGAAAUCAGGGUUUGUCUUUUU